UUAUGUCAAAUUUGUAUGGAGUUGGAACGUUUGGCUACGUUUGCCGCUAGGGGCGCUGUUCCAACUGCAUACAAAUCUGAGUUA
rfam:Bombyx mori DNA, contig: Bm_scaf30_contig19014, strain: p50T/Dazao, build 2, whole genome shotgun sequence.